UCUCAUGUCCCUCUUGUUACUAAAGCCAGGUCAAACGUUUAGGCCACAGUACAGAUGUAAGUCAGGGCACGUGCAUUGUUUCCCAAACCCGUGCAGACUGCUACGUUGCCGUGACAAGUGUAUCAGGGGAUGUUACUGUCGUGCCUAUUGUAACUAACUAUGUACUCGAUCGCACUGACCUCUCCAGACCUACUCUGCACGGAACUAAAUUCAUGAGGUUGAAAGGUUGAACGUUUAAGACCAUUAAACUUAAGUAAA
rnacentral:sRNA from 1 species